ensembl:lncRNA
GGGGGGGGGGGGGGGGGGGGGGGGGGGGGGGGGGGGGGGGGGGGGGGGGGGGGGGGGGGGGGGGGGGGGGGGGGGGGGGGGGGGGGGGGGGGGGGGGGGGGGGGGGGGGGGGGGGGGGGCGGGGCCUAUCAGACCGCUGGGUGAGCCUCUGCCGCCCCCGGCCGCAGGCCCUCCCCGCAGUGAGAAUCGCAGAAUGGUUUGGGCUGGAAGAGACGUUAAAGCUCAUCCAGUGCCACCCCUGCCACGGGCAGGGACACCUCCCACUGUCCCAGGCUGCUCCAGCCCCAGUGUCCAGCCUGGCCCUGGGCACUGCCAGGGAUCCAGGGGCAGCCACAGCUGCUCUGGGCACCCUGUGCCAGCCCUCCCCACCCUCCCAGGGACCAAUUCCUGCCCAAUAUCCCAUCCAGCCCUGCCCUCUGGCAGUGGGAGCCAUUCCCUGUGUCCUGUCCCUCCAUCCCUUGUCCCCAGUUCCUCUCCAGCUCUCCUGGAGCCCCUUUAGGCCCUGGCAGGGGCUCUGAGCUCUCCCUGGAGCCUUCUCCUCUCCAGGGGAACAUUCUCAGCCUGUGCUAAACUAGCACAGACCCACUGCCCACCUCCCCGACCAAGGGAUGUGCAAUUUGUCUUUACCACUAAGGAAAAUGAUGUAAUGCCUCUGGAUGUUGGAGCAACCCAAGUUUCACAUCAAGGAUAUGACAAGGGCGCUUUCUAGCCUGCCCUGCUGGACAUUCGGGGCCUACCAGAGCCCAGGGUUCACCACGUGAGACGUGACAUUGGCCAGCAGAGGGGAUUUGCCAGCAGACUGCUUUGAAGUGCCCAGGAACUGGAGUCAUCUCCUUCCUUGGAUGCAGGCUUCACCUGCUCUACCUGCGGCUGUCCUUGGGCAUCCCUAGCCAUGGCUAUCUCCAGGCUGAUCAUUCACAAAUCUCCAUACUCUGCUCUCCCCCUGCAGCUGUGCUCCAGAUCCCUCUGCUCCCAGCACUGCUUUGAUGGGUACGUACUCAGAAAGGAGUGUGGUUUUUUUUCUCGGCCAUGCCACAUCCCAAGCUGUGUGCCAGAUCCAUGCUCUCCCUGGGUGGUGUUCUCAUGCAAAAUUCAACAUCCACUCUGUCCACUGCUUUACAAUCCUCAGUCCUCACAUCUCACCUGCUAUAGCCUCCUCCUUGAACAUCCUUCAUGUCUUCAGUGGCCUUCUUUGGCUCACAGGAGAGAAAAUAACCUUAAUUGUCACCACUUCUGGCCACCAUGAACAGCGCAGCCAUCCACCUCGUUCGCUCCAAGUUCCCUGCUGCUUUUUUUUCCUUGUGCUUACCUUUGAAGGCUGCAGUGGCUGCUUGUCACCACCCUGGUCCUCCUCACCUCCUGUUCCUUUUACAGUCCAACGGUUCUCCCCAGCUGUCCCGUCUUCAGGUAUGGACAUGGUUUCCUUUUCGUUUGUCCUGGUUGACACCCUCAUUUUUUUCCUGCCCCAUUGGAAACUCACAGAACACUUGAUGAGCAAACCUAAUCUGAUUUCCAGCGGCCGUGGGAGGGGUUUCAGGACCGGAGGCUAUGGGAGCUCCCUAGCUGCUUGGUUUCGGCUUUCAGGCUCCACCAGCGGGAGAAGGAGCAGGCAGUCGCAGCUGCACUGUGAGCACCAGCCCCUGGCUUUGUCAUGAGUUUCAACAGGUACGGCAUUUCCAUUUUGCCAACCACAUUGCUAACAGCCACCAAAGUGCCAGCCCAUGCUGAAGAAUUCAUUUUCUGCCUCAGUUUCCUGACAAGCCAUGCUGAGAAAACCUCACGUCUUUUCCUACAAGUUUCAAGAUGCUUCAAAAAUUCUUUUUUACACUAAGGACUCAAAAAAAAAAAUAGCUUGCAUUUAAAAAAUUGUUUUAUUUUGUGCUUUUUAGUAACCUCAACAAUUUAAUUUUAAAAAAGCCUUCUUAAUUAAUAAAGAAAAGGGGAGUUGUGAAGGACCCCCAAAGGAAUUCCUAACUAAGGAAUGCAACCCCUGUUUUGUUCCCUAAGGCAACCCCGUGUUCUCUCCCAGCCUUUGGUCACUCCCACCCUAAUUCCCUGUUGGCCAUUUGUUUUGGCCCUGCCCUUAAGUUACCUCCGUGUUUUCUAAUAAUUGGUUCCUAAGGAUUUCCCCGCCUGCUCAUCCCAUGUACUAAACCUGUACCCUGAUAAGCCUUGGUGCCUUUGUUCUCCCGAACCCUGGACAAUGCGCGCGUGGCUGAAAUAAACAUCUUUGUAACACCCUGCAAAGGCCUCCUGCUGAUUUCCCCCCAAGGGACACCUAAAUUGCAACACCCAAACCUGUAAACCUAACCCUAACCCUAACCCUAACCCAAAACCCUAACCCUAACCCUAGCCAUAACCCUAACCCCAACACUAGCCCUAGCCCUAACCAUAACCCUAACCCCAACACUAGCCCUAGCCCUAACCAUAACCCUAACCCCAA